rnacentral:lncRNA from 1 species
GUCAGAGUGUAAGGUUUCAACCAAUCCUAACAGUAACUCCGCUUGAGACCCUCAGUUCCCUCACAAGGACUAAGUAAGAGGAAGUGUGGGUUAGGUUCAGGUCCAGCUCUGUAAAUCUUGCCCUUGGUUGCUUUCGUCAUUGGGUUAAGGCCGUGCAGUUUGAACCAGUCAUCUCUAAUCUUUGGUACAGAUAAAGUUGAUGUUUACACGAGGAAAUAAAAUGUGUUCGACACGGAGGCCUGCUCCUCCCCCAUUGCCGACUGGAAUCUAGAACUGUGUGUGAGACUUGGACAUGGCUCAUCUCUGGAGGGCUUCUGCCUGGUUGCUGUUCAGUGAGAUGUUGCCGCAGAUGCUGGGAGCAGGAGGUCAUGGGGGCUUUGUUGUGAGGGCCCCUGCUCUUGGUCACAUAGAUGAGAGAGGACUGGCUUUCCGGAGGCUAUCGGUGACACGAUUUACACUUGGACAGUGGCUUCAGGGUUGCUUUGAAAGUGAGGUCUUAAGUGCACUCUGCAAUCUGAGACUCCUCAAUAUUGGAUUUGCCAAUCUUAGCGCUGGCCCUGGAGAUCUAGGCAGUUCCACCUUCAGCUGGCGCCCUGUGUGUGAGUGAUGCAGCAGGCAGUGGGGCCGUCAGAGCAGGGGAGUUGCAGAGAGAAGGAAGGGCCAUUUCCCUCAGGAGGUAUGGUCCAGGCGUCUUCUGGUCUAGGACCUGGG